AGCUUUGCGCAGUGGCAGUAUUGUAGCCGAUGAGGUUUAUCCAAGGUGCUAUUAUUGCUAAUUAAAAAUUUUUAAAAUGCUCAUUCUUAGGCUAUUGGUAAUCCAUUUUUUAAAUUUAUUUCCACUUUUGAUGUCAGCUGCUCAAAUUCCAUGAAAAAUA
ensembl:snRNA U4 U4 spliceosomal RNA